rnacentral:rRNA from 1 species
ACUCCUACGGGAGGCAGCAGUGGGGAAUCUUGCGCAAUGGGCGAAAGCCUGACGCAGCAACGCCGUGUGGGUGAUGAAGGCCUUCGGCUCGUAAAGCCCUGUCGGAAGGAACGAAUGUUCCCGUCGUGAACAACGGCGGGAAGUGACGGUACCUUCAAAGGAAGCACCGGCUAACUCCGUGCCAGCAGCCGCGGUAAU